rnacentral:lncRNA from 1 species
CCAGGCUUGCGGCGGGGCGCAACGGUGUCUCCUUCACUUCGCCCUCCAGCCGCGGUGGCUGCAGCGCAACUUCCAGAUAGCGGAGUGGCCUCAGCUGCGAGCCGAGCGGUGGCGGCAGCGCCCCUCAGGACACCCGCAGAUCACCUUUUCCCCGCGACUUCGCCAUGGCUGAAUGUUGUGUACCGGUAUGCCAACGGCCAAUUUGUAUCCCUCCACCCUAUGCUGACCUUGGCAAAGCUGCCAGAGAUAUUUUCAACAAAGGAUUUGGUUUUGGGUUGGUAAAGCUGGAUGUGAAAACGAAGUCAUGCAGUGGUGUGGAAUUUUCAACAUCUGGCUCAUCUAAUACAGACACUGGUAAAGUCAGUGGGACCUUGGAGACCAAGUACAAAUGGUGUGAGUAUGGUCUGACUUUCACAGAGAAAUGGAACACUGACAACACUCUGGGGACGGAGAUUGCAAUUGAAGACCAGAUUUGUCAAGGUUUGAAACUGACCUUUGACACCACGUUUUCACCAAACACAGGGUAAGUGCUGGUGUUGGUGCACGCUGUGCUUACAGGCCUCGUCUGCUCAGGAAGGAGCAGCUGUCACAGUGCCUCCAUCGCCUGUGGCAGCACCAAUUCACCUUUGCGUUGCCCGCCACUGCCAGGGCCUUGCUGUCAGAGAUGAUGGCCUCUUCACUGUGGCUGUGCUUACUGCCAUUUCCGAGGCCAUUGUGACUGCUGUGAUAGGGCAGUGCUGUCAUCCCAUGUGGGUUGUUUAAUUGAUUUGGCUGUUUUUAACCCUAUAAUUGUCACACUGUGGUUUGUUUAAAUCUGUUUCAAGUCCACCAUGCAGUUAUAUGUAUAAAUCUUGGUCAUUGGCAUGAGUUUCAAGUCAGUCUCUUCUUUUUCCAG